rnacentral:rRNA from 1 species
UACAGAGGGGGCAAGCGUUGUUCGGAUUUACUGGGCGUAAAGGGCGCGUAGGCGGCUUUGUAAGUUACUUGUGAAAUCUCUGAGCUUAACUCAGAACGGUCAAGUAAUACUGCAGAGCUUGAGUGCAGAAGGGGCAACUGGAAUUCUUGGUGUAGCGGUGAAAUGCGUAGAUAUCAAGAGGAACACCUGAGGCGAAGGCGGGUUGCUGGGCUGACACUGACACUGAGGGACGAAAGCUAGGGGAGCGAAAGGG